ACCCUUUAAAAGAGCCAGUUCCUGAAAAACUUUCCCCUUCCCAAAUUAACCUUCAACCAAUUUAAAUAUACCCAAUUUCUCCCAGCGAUACAGAAAAUUCGUCAUCAGCAUCCCACCUCGGUUACGUCUUCCUCUCCGCCGAAGCCGAAGAGUUCAUCCUUUUACCUUCUCCGACGAAGCCUAAGGAGUUUGCAAUGAUGAGUAUUAUUCAUCGGUUACCCUUCUCCGCCGAAGCCGAAGCGUUACAGAUAUUUCCAAAGCUCAGUAUUUCUUCAGAAUUUCCGCAUUCAUGUUCACAAUUUUCAGAAUUAGGCUAUUCAGAAAGUUUCAAGCGACAAGGGAGCAACUGUAUUGGUUGUUAUUUCUUUCCUAAAUUAGGGCUGGAGUAUGAGUAGAAAGCUGUGAACCUUUUUAAGGGAGAGCAGUUCACUCCAGAGUUUGAGACGUUGAACCCACUCAAAUAUGUUCCGGUAUUGGAAGAUGGAGAUGUAGUAAUUGCUGAUUCGUUUGUGAUCCUUUGGGUAAGAAAUAUCAGAUGUUUGUUCUAACAUUGCUAUAUUCCAGAUUUGUAUGGCAGUUGUUUGGUUAGAUAUCUUAAUAUAUUUGUGAUCCUCUUCCACAUACAUAGCAAACAUACCAGGCUAAACAACUGAUAUAUCAAAUUAGAUGUUUGUGAUAUAUCUAACAAAUCAAAAACUUCAUGUACUGAUUUGUUUGCUAUAUCAGUUGUUUGCUAAACAACUGAUCACAAACAAAACAAACAAUUUUGAUAUAUCAGUUGUUUACUAUGUUUGUGAUCUUCAUCCUCUUCCACAUACCAGGCUAAACAAACUUCAUGUACUGAUUUGUUUGCUAUGUUUGUGAUCCCCUUCCACAUACAAGGCUAAACAAACAUCUAAACAAAACUAAACAAAUUUGAUAUUUCUAACUCAAACAUCUUAUAUGGCAGUUGUUUGCUAUAUUUGUUCUAACAUUUGCUAUAUUCCAGAUUUCUAACCAAACAAAUCUAAUAUUUCUAACAUUGCUAAAUUCCAUACUUUGGCUAAUGUUAGAACAAAUAUGUUCCGGUAUUGGAAGAUGGAGAUUUGGUAGUUGCUUAUUCGUUUGUGAUCCUUUUGGUUAGAUAUAUCAGAUGUUUGUUCUAACAUUGCUAUAUUCCAUAUUCACAUUGGCUUUUGUAUUAUUGCUGCUAUUGCUCCUCUGCUUGUCUUUCAUGGGAAGUCACAGUUGGCUUAUUUGGAGUGUUUCAUGGUAAGAACUUUUGUCCUCAGAACAAUGGUGGUAUAUGUUUUUAUUUUCUUAUUGCAGAACUUUUAAACUUUUAGAUUUUGCAUUACAAAUUGUGUAAAAUUUGUACGAAUGUUCAAAUAAAACAAGUUUUGCAUCUGAGACGACUCAUAACUAAGAUGCUGGGUAAACUUCCUCAACUGCAAUCCUUUUUUUUUGAUAAAUUGUUAGUAGCAAAUAUUGGGGACUCGAGAGUCAUUUUGUGUAAGGGAGGAAAGGGUAAGUCCUCCUAUAGUUGAUCAUUUUGGGUAUUGGUAUCUAUUUAUCUUUCAAGUGUUCAAAUGAUUUAAGGAUUCAUAUAUGCUUUAAAUGAUUGAGAAGUGUACAUUUCCUCUAGAACUCAUACUCUUACUCGAUCGAUUGAGAAGUGUACAUUUCCUCUAGAACUCAGACUCUUACUCGAUCUAUUGUACAUUGGGUGUGAACCAAAAGUACCUGAAUGAACUCUAUUAGAGUCAGUAGUAUAAUAAACUAACCAAAAGUACCUAAUGAUCAAUUAUGUUUUGUAAUAUAAUAAUUACUCCAAAGAUGUACCUAGAAUGGGCCUGGAGAUCAUCAUCUGGGUACAAAAGGAGGUAGCCUGAACAAGAAGAGUCAAAGAAUAGGUAUUAAAUUGUAAAGGCCAGCACAAUUCAGGUCUUCACCGAUACUGCGGUGCUUUAAUGGGUCUGUUCAUGUGCAGCAUAUAAGGAGUUGGUUGUUUCGGUUCUUACUUUAUAAAUACGUUUAAAUUUAAGAUUCUUUCUCCCUGAUGAUAUAACUGAACCGAGGACCUAUUUGCAUAGUGGCUUUGCCAUCUCUGUGUUCAUGACCUUUUGUUAAUGUUAAAAGGUUUUUGAGUCUUAACUUGGACCAUCAUUUUCAUGAUUCUACUUGAAGAAUGAGAUUUCUCAUAUAAAUAACAGCAUCGGUUUACGAUAAUACUGAAGUGUUUCUUAACUUGAUCUGAUCAUUCAAAUUUCUAAAGAUGUUUGUUGCCAUUGUGUUUUAAGCAUGAAUAAACUUCUGCCCUUUUUUCAAUUUAACCCUUUAUUAUUGAUUUCUAUAGGUGGUUGAAAUAAGCAAGGGGAGCAGUCCGUAGACUUGACUGCUGUAGAUGAUGAUGAAGAUUAGCAUUUAUCCUGAGUUCUUUUGUUGCAUUUCCUGCCCAGCUUCAUUGCUUCAUCCGUGUAAAGUUGCUUUCCUCUGCAGGGGUGUUGAAAUUCCACCAGGGUUGUCAUCAUUUGUGUGUAGGCGAGUGUAUGACAUUGCAAACAAGUGUUUAUGGUGGUUAACAUACAAGUAUUAUAUCAACCAACAUGAAGAAGUAGAUCAUUUAUUGGACAAGACCCGACUAGAAAUGCAUGCAGUAGUGCAACCAGGAGAUUAUUCUCCAAAACCAUUUAAUGGUCCAACAUCAACUCAGAAGUUAAAAUCAGAUACUGAGAGUCGGCAGAAUAGUAGCAUUUCCUUCCCUGCACAGGUUAAGGAAAAGAAGAGGAAGAGAGGGGUGAUCAGGGAACAAAACCUAUUAAGCGAGAAGGUCAUACUAAGCUGGAGGAUAGUGAAUCUGCCAGUUCUAGACUAAACAAUAUGGCAAAAUCUGAGAUUGUAAAAAUAGCAGAAAAAGGGUCGCUAAUAACAACAGAAGGUGUUGACAAGCUGAUGCAUCUUAUGCAACUAGAUAAAAAUGAGAGAAAAUUUUAUUUGUCUGAUAGGAUAUUGUUUGCAUAUGUUGGAUGAUUGUGAAAAAAUAUGCUUCCAGACGUUGCAUUGGACAAAUUUUUCCCCUGUUUUUGGCCUUGCUGGAAAUGUUCAAUACAAUCCAUAGAAAAGUUCUA